CGCUAAGAAGCUAACAGGGAACAGCGUUAGCCUUUUAAGCUAAAGACUGGUGGUACCAACCACCCUUAGCGA
rnacentral:tRNA from 1 species